rnacentral:rRNA from 1 species
UGGGGAAUAUUGCACAAUGGGCGCAAGCCUGAUGCAGCAACGCCGCGUGAACGAUGAAGGUCUUCGGAUCGUAAAGUUCUGUUGCAGGGGAAGAUAAUGACGGUACCCUGUUAGGAAGCCCCGGCUAACUACGUGCCAGCAGCCGCGGUAAUACGUAGGGGGCUAGCGUUAUCCGGAUUUACUGGGCGUAAAGGGUGCGUAGGUGGUCUUUCAAGUCGGUGGUUAAAGGCUACGGCUCAACCGUAGUUAGCCUCCGAAACUGGAAGACUUGAGUGCAGGAGAGGAAAGUGGAAUUCCCAGUGUAGCGGUGAAAUGCGUAGAUAUUGGGAGGAACACCAGUAGCGAAGGCGGCUUUCUGGACUGCAACUGACACUGAGGCACGAAAGCGUGGGUAGCAAACAGG